UACGGGGGGGGUAAGCGUUGUUCGGAAUUACUGGGCGUAAAGGGCUCGUAGGCGGCCAACUAAGUCAGACGUGAAAUCCCUCAGCUUAACUGGGGAACUGCGUCUGAUACUGGAUGGCUUGGAUUCGGGAGAGGAAUGCGGAAUUCCAGGUGUAGCGGUGAAAUGCGUAGAUAUCUGGAGGAACACCGGUGGCGAAGGCGGCAUGCUGGACCGACAUUGACGCUGAGGAGCGAAAGCCAGGGGAGCAAACGGG
rnacentral:rRNA from 1 species